GGGGAGGGGAGGCAGGAGGGGACAGGGACUGGGGACUGGGGUUCUGGAAGGCUCCUAGGAUGGGGACAGGACUGGGAUGGUAUGGACUCUGCCUCUUCCCCUUCAACUGUGGGAAGAUUUUUUUUUUCCUAGUGGGUCACUUUCCUGCCCUCUGACCUCUGGAUGACCACGAUGGCCAGGACCCCCAGAAGGCAAAUCAAUUUGGAUUGGGGGAUUUGGAAGGCCUGUGGCCUCUGGGGUUCUCUUAGCUACUUUGCUUUAGUAUUUAGAAAAACCUCCUUCCUAGCCUUAUAGAUCAGAGAGAGAAUCAGUAGGAAACGAUCAAGUUUAUCCACGCUCCGAUAGAAAUGGGACAGGGGCAGGCACAGGCAGCAACAGGGGAAUCGCUUUUACUUGGCCCGGAGCCAUGAUCUCUUCUAUAUAACAGCAGCUGGACCCCUGUGCUCCUCCUGCCUUUCCCAAAUAUACCCCCCCCCCCCGCACACACACACCGACACCCCCACACCCCCACACACUAUGAUGUAAUUUUAUUUUCUGGGGAAAAAAGCCAUGAGCUCAGCAUGCAAAUAUAGACAACAAAGCCACACUUAGCUGUCUCCUAGCUCUGUCCUUCUGCCUAGGCCAGUGUGAUAAUUCUCACUUCCCCUACACCUCAGGGACUUUCCUCCCCCAGAUUCUCAGCCAGGCUGAAAGAGGGAAGGGAGACCUGGAGAAGCAUAAGGGGUUUCAGCUCAGCUCUGGAAGUGUCUGACCCUGAGAGGGUCUUCAGUGUUUGCACCACCAGGAGCACCCCAUCUUGCCUUCAGUUCCAGCUGACCAGAGACCCCUCUUCUCAUUCUCAGAUGAGCCCUUUCUCUCUCGGAGCCACACUUCUGGGAGAAGCAGGUCCUGGUCCUGCACCUUAGGUUUCCUGUACAGCACUUCUCUUUGCUAAUCUCCCCCGGCGUGGCUGCCCAUUGCCCCUUUGAAAAUAACGAACAUAACCCUCAGAAUUUGCUUUUGCUUCUUAUUCGCUCUGUGCUGUAAUCUAUCUGGCUGACCCAUCUUUGAGACCCAGAGUGAUGGCACACUUGUGCACAGACAUGUACUGUAUAAAUGAAAUCAGGCAGAGCAAGACACAGAGAAUGUGGACUUUAUACUUACUCUGUUUCCUUAGACAGUUUAAGUCCAUAAAGUUAAGGCUACCAAUGCUGUCUUCAUAGGGUUCUUCUGAGAAUCAGGAAUAAAAAGCUUUUAGGGAUUGGUACCAGAUGGGUGCAAAAAAGAAAGUCAAAGUCACUUAAGUUUAGUAUUUUUUGCUGAUCUAUAUGAAGCAAACCCCAUAAUAUUUUUAUGAUGUAACCUAAUACCCAAUUACCUAUUAGUUAUCCAGUACAUGUGAAUAGGCUGAUUAAACAUUUGGUUUCUGCCUUAUAGACUUCUGCAAUUGUCUCUAGCAGUACUCCCUAGAUUUGACUGUGGAGAGUGAAAACGUCUCUAAUCUCGGGGCUCAUUCUUCUAUACGUAGAUAUCAAAUAACUUUACACUGCCUUACCAAAAGCUCAUAUCAUGUAUAACACGGUGGUAUACAUACGCCUGUCAUCUUAAGACUUAGAACGUUGAGGCAGGAAAAUUCUCAUCUUGGGCUACAUAGCGAUAGCCUCUCUAGAAACAGCAUCAAACUGUGUCUGCUUCCUUAGACGCUUGUUUGGGAUUUGGUCCUUUCAUGCUUCCAACUUGAAUGUGUUUACUCACACCUGAGCCUGUCCUGGGGAUCGCACACGUCCUUUUCAGACAAGUCCGACAGGUCCACGUCUAGGAGAUGCUCUUGGUUCAAACAGCAAUACCACCCCGUUACCACGGUCACCACACAGGGCCAGAGUCUCCCGAACUUACUCUGAUUAAACAGUUUCUGACAAGGAUCAGGGCUCCUUGCCCCUGCCUCUUGACAUCACCUGCCCUCCUUAAGUCCACCGUGGCUUUUGCUGCCAAAUGAAACUUUGCCUUUCCCGGUUCAUAGGAUUUAGUUCAGACAUCUCUACAAAACAACCCCACUAUGCUUACCCAACCUCAUGGCCACAACUUGAAUUUCUCUUUACUUUUCAGAUCUCUGUUAUGACAAACACGCCCUGCCGAUGCUUUGAGGCUUUUGUUUGCUCGCUCCUUUGACUAGAAUGUCCUAAUUCCUUUGCCUCCAGUCAAAACCAGGAGAAGCCCUGGUGUCCUAGAACUCCAUCUGUAGACCAGCCUGGCCUCCGAUUCACAGAGAUCCACCUGCCUCUGCCUCUGGAGUGUUGGGGUUAGAGGUGUGCUCCACCGUCAUCCAGACUUCCAAGCCCAUUACCCCUCCUCCCAUCCACCUCGUUUUUCCAUCCUUUAUUAAACAAACACAGGACAGUUCUUUAUGUACCGGGCCGUAGGAAAAUAGAACGGAAGCCCGGGUUCCUGCCCUCAGGACCCAAUUCAGCAGCCGUAGAACUGAAGAACUAACGGGCGCAUUGGUGCAUUAAGUUCAAGAAUGCUAUUCAGAAAGGGCAGUGGGACCACUGAAGGAGACAGACAGUGGAACCGUCGGAGUCUGGGGUGACCGCACUAAGAAAGGACAGUGGACUCAGUCCUCAUGUUCAAAGAGAGCGGACCUGUCGGACUUGGCUGGGAGGGCACUGUUAAGCGGCACAUAAUCAAUUAGAUAUUGCUAUUUUAGGGUGCGUGUCUCGAUGUUUCAGGCAGACGAGUCAGCUCAAGAGCAGGGACAGGCCUGGCACUCCCUGUUCUUCCAGAGCCCGACAGCAGCACUGGACAAACACCGUGUGUUCAGAAAAGGCUUGUUGACUGGAGGCAGAUAAAUAUCCAGGGUUCCCAGGGGCAACUGCCUGGAGAGAGAGCCCCAAGCCCAUGAUCAGCCCUCUAAUGAAUUCCUAACAAGGCACCCACACUUAACUCUCCUCAGUGGUCACCUCCCUCCUGCCCUAAGGGUGAGACUUCAUCAACAACAGACACUUGCUCAUUCUGCCCCAGAUUUCUUUAUUAAGGCCUUGCAUUUGACCC
rnacentral:sRNA from 1 species